AAUCCGUGUUGUGGACACUUCUGCAAGAGAUCCUUGAAUCUCUCCCACAUCUCAAACAAAGAUUCAAGCUCCAUCUGAACAAACGGUGAUAUCUUAUUACGAAGCUU